rnacentral:rRNA from 1 species
GACGAACGCUGGCGGCGUGCUUAACACAUGCAAGUCGAACGGAAAGGCCCUGCUUUUGUGGGGUGCUCGAGUGGCGAACGGGUGAGUAACACGUGUGUAACCUGCCCUUGACUUUGGGAUAACUUCAGGAAACUGGGGCUAAUACCGGAUAGGAUCUCCUGCUGCAUGGUGGGGGUUGGAAAGUUUCGGCGGUUGGGGAUGGACUCGCGGCUUAUCAGCUUGUUGGUGGGGUAGUGGCUUACCAAGGCUUUGACGGGUAGCCGGCCUGAGAGGGUGACCGGCCACAUUGGGACUGAGAUACGGCGCAGACUCCUACGGGAGGCAGGAGUGGAGAAUAUUGCAGAAUGGGCGGAAGCCUGAUGCAGCAACGCCGCGUGCGGGAUGACGGCCUUCGGGUUGUAAACCGCUUUCGCAUGUGACGAAGCGUGAGUGACGGUAAUGGGUAAAGAAGCACCGGCUAACUACGUG